CUUCAGGUAGGAGUAUGGGUUAUUCAGAGCCGUGUGAAGUGCAACCCUGGGGGCAGCGUUCAAGUGCUCGCGAAGAAUGCUGGCUGUGUUGAAAUACACUAUCUCAUGCAGCGUCUUGUGGUCUGCAGGAACAAGGUGGUAGAAGAGUACACAUUGUCUGCAACACAUACAGAGGGUUCCAGAUGCGGGAAAGUCAACCUGCCAAUUCUCUUGCUGAUCUGUCCAUCUGCCUCCUCCUACAAACUCCUUCCUGCUGACUGAUGAAGUACCAUCCCCACCACUAAAAAUAAGACGUGCUGUUCCUCUCUGCCCAUAAUAAGAAAGAAUCUGUCUCCAUUUGGGAAGCAGAGGGCAAACCAGUAGAAGAGAACAUAUAGAGAAAGAGUAGAUACUUGUUCAGAUGCCAUACCAUGAAACAACAAAACAUGCUUCACUAAAAUGGAGUAACACUACCUCACCUGCUUGCCCAAAGGAUACUUUGGAAGUGAAGACGUGAAAACAUGAAGACAUCUCAGAACUGGAAAAUAAUUUUCAUGAUAAACAUUCAGGUCCUCCAGCAACUUCUGUACUGUUUCCUACAGUGACAGAAUAAUUGCUUUGUAAGUCAUUCUGACAAUCAUUUGUUUAAAACUCUCACGAAGUACUUAAAAUGACUCUUGGGUUUUGACAUUCUGAUGUGCUGUGACUUAAAUCCCCAGUGUGAAAUUACGACCACCAUGUAGAAAAGUUCUAUUUCAACAGUUCGCUGCAAUCACGCUGCAUAUUUUAAACUUUACCUUCCUCUUCCAUCUCACUGAAGAGUUGUUAUUGAUUAGCAUUAUUAUCUUAUCAUUUGCAACUAUAUUUAGCUGUUGUUUGGCGUGUCAUCUCACAACAAACAGGACUACACUUUUAAUAUGCACUGAGAAAUUAUAUAGCUAAAUUUAUUCAAAUCCUUGCUAUUUGCAUUUUUAUAUUACAAAUACAUUUAAAAAUAUAUUUGUUACAUUAUGAGUGCUUCCUGUUUUUACUAGUGAGGUAUACAUAAAAAGAAAAUUUCAUAGGAAAACAUUGUAGAGUUGCUGCUUCUAUGUGCUCUUAAGUUGGCUUGCUUAUUCAUAGAUUGAGAUCUUCAGAAAAAAAAAAAUAAAUCAUGUAUUAGGAAAAAGAAA